rnacentral:rRNA from 1 species
CACGUAGGGCGCGAGCGUUGUCCGGAAUUAUUGGGCGUAAAGAGCUCGUAGGCGGCCUGUUGCGUCCGCUGUGAAAGCCCGGGGCUUAACCCCGGGUCGCAGUGGAUACGGGCAGGCUAGAGGUAGGUAGGGGAGAAUGGAAUUCCCGGUGUAGCGGUGAAAUGCGCAGAUAGUCGGGAGGAACACCGGUGGCGAAGGCGGUCUCUG